CAGCGAGAGGGGGCGGGGUCAGGGGCGGGGCCUGAGACUAGACCCGGAAGCGGCGGAGGGAGCGUCUCGGCGGCCGUCGGUCGUCGGCGUCGGGGCAUUGGGCGCCGCGGAGCCGGGAGUUGGGUUUUGUUUUGAUCUGAUUCCCUUGAGCGGAGGCUGCAGGUGCCAUGUCUGACGUGCUGGUGGGAUUGUGAGCCUGCAGCCGUUGCUGCAGUGGCUGGAGCGAUGCUGCGCGGGGUCCGCCUGCUGCUGCCCUGCAGUCCUGCCUAGCCCAUGGAGGGUGCCUUGGAGCAGGUGAGCGCUGGCUGAGCACAAGGCCCGCGGUCUGUGCGCCGGCCGAAGCUGGUAAGGAUC
rnacentral:lncRNA from 1 species